rnacentral:rRNA from 1 species
AUAUUGCACAAUGGGCGAAAGCAUGAUCCAGCCAUGCCGCGUGCAGGAUGAAGGCCCUCGGGUUGUAAACUGCUUUUGUACGGAACGAAAAGCCUGAGGCUCAUAUCCUCGGGUCAUGACGGUACCGUAAGAAUAAGCACCGGCUAACUACGUGCCAGCAGCCGCGGUAAUACGUAGGGUGCAAGCGUUAAUCGGAAUUACUGGGCGUAAAGCGUGCGCAGGCGGUUUUGUAAGACAGAGGUGAAAUCCCCGGGCUCAACCUGGGAACGGCCUUUGUGACUGCAUGGCUAGAGUGCGGCAGAGGGGGAUGGAAUUCCGCGUGUAGCAGUGAAAUGCGUAGAUAUGCGGAGGAACACCGAUGGCGAAGGCAAUCCCCUGGGCCUGCACUGACGCUCAUGCACGAAAGCGUGGGGAGCAAAC